rnacentral:lncRNA from 1 species
AAAUUUUUAAACACUAAAAUUUUUAGGUGUUUGAUUUUAUGUAGGAUUAAAAAAGAUUAUAAAAAUUUUAUCAUAAUUUUUUUGUAUAGCCAUUCAAACCCUUUAUGUAAUGUUAAAUUACUACGGGAUGAUAUGCGAAAAGUUAUUAAUUUUGUUUAUGUAUUUUUAUGACAAAUCAAAUUCUAAAAAAUUUAGGUGUUUAAAAAUUUUAAAAAAAAGAAAGAAGAGAGGUAUAAAAAAAAAUUAAAAAAUAAAAAUGAAGAAGAGAUGGUAUUAAAAAAUAAUAAAUAAAUUAUUAUGUGUUAAAAAAAUUAGAUAAAAUUUCGGAAGCUGAAAGUAAAAAAAUUAUAAAAAUUUUACUAUUUUUUUUAAUAACUAACCAAGAGAUGGUAUUCCAAAAAACAAAAUUAAUGGGUAAGAGAGAAGAAAAGAGAAAGAGAGAAGGGCAAAUUUGUCCAAAAUAGCCAAAAUUAGUCACCAUCCCCGCACCUCUCGUGUCAGGGGUUGGGAUUAAUAGUUUGCAAGAGUGGUGUUAUAGGAAGGGGCGCGCCUUACUUGAAUGCUCCAAUCCACCAUUUGGGAGUGGAUGAGGCAAUUUUUUUUUUUAAGUGAUGGGAUAUUUUUUUUUAAGUGGGGUCCACCCUCAAAUGGGUGUAUGAGAGCGUGCCACGUAGGCGCUCCCGUGAUAUUACUACGGGCGCACGCCGAUCUUAACACCACUCUUAAUUUGCAAACCAAAAACACACAUCAUUUAUAGGACUGUUCUCAGUGUUUGUCUCGUCAUCAUCCUGUAAGAGAUACAAGUAAACGAUGAACAAAUUCAAGAAAAUUAAAAGAUUUUUAGCAAAAUAAUUUUAUAUAAAUAUUUUAGGUAAUUUUUUUCUAAAUAAUAUUCAAAAUGUGUAAUAAAGAGCCAAGUGAUGGACCCGAAGGGACGGUAGAGGUGAUGGUCACUCUACAACUUUUAAAAAAUCAAACUAUCAAUAUUUUUAAAUUAAACGGGUUCGUCACCUCCCGCCUCCCCGAGAGCCUAAUUUUAAAUCACCUACACCCUGUUUGACAUCCGGAGUUGUUUCCGAAUUUGGGAGUCUCCGGAUUUAUUCUCUCUCUUCCUGCCUUUUCCAUGGUUUGACACUACUUUUUCUCUCCUGAUUUCUUCUUGGACUGUCUUUCAAAUCCAUCUACAGCCGGAUAUAUCACGGACAGGGUACCCGUCCGUGGGCACGCGGUGCUCCGCGUGGUGGCGAAGACCGUUGUGCCCUCGGUCCCCUUUUUAUCUGGUAAGCAGUGGAUUUUAUCUUCUCCGAUUUUCGGCACCGAAGAUUCAUGGUUUUGCAAGGAUUUGGGUCUUGAAUAUCUGGUUUCAACCUGUUUUCUCAGAUCUGAGUGUGUAACCCAUGAAGGGCGUGUUUUUGACGGCGGUCUUGGGUUUCCGGCGUUGGUUGUUUUUUCUGAUGAGCGGCUGGUGUGGCGACACAGAGAGAGAGGGACGAUCAUUCGCCUUGUCGAGGAGGAGAUUCCUGAGUUUGGGAAGGGAAUUGGCACUGGAUGUGGGUGGUUUCACAUGCCAGUGGGAGGACUGUUUGGGUUUCUUAUUGGGCUGGGACUUGGAAUAGUUGAUUUGGGUUUUUGUGAUCUAAUGUGUUUGAUGAAAUGUUGGAUGAGCUGAUUUUGUCAAAUAUCUUAUGUUUGUUUGGUGGGAACUUAAAAAGUUUCUAGUGGUUUGUGCUUCAUUGAAAUUUUCUUAUGGGUGUUUGGAUUAUAGUUUCUUGUGAUUGAUUGGAGUAAGUUAUAUAUGGAUUGAAAUUUCUUGUGGCGUUUGUGAGGGAUAUGAUAAUUUAUCCAAAAAAAAGUAAAAUUUAAUAUUUUUAAAUACAUUAAUAUUUAAAGAGUAAAUUUUUAUUUUAAUCAUUUAAAAUAUUAAGUAAUAUGUAUUUUAUUUAAUUAAAGAAAAUUAUAUUUAAUUAUUAAUAACUAAUUAAUAAAAGUGGGUGUAAUUUGUCUUUUUACAUGUCUUCCAUAGUAUCCAACUUUUAAAUUUAUUUUCCAAAAAACAAAUCAAACACCAAAUUAUAAAAUCAAUCCUUCUUAAAGGUGGGCCCCCGAUUAUAAAUCAUCAUCAUUUAAAAUCCACCAUCAAUCUCCUCUCAAUUUAAAUCCCCCAAAUAUCUCUUGUUUGCCAACGGCUGACUAUUGUGUUCUUUGCGUGAGUUGACGAGACUAUCAAGUAUCUCUCUCUGUCUCGUACAUUCUUAUGAGAGGUGUAAAAGAGUGAUAGUAGCGGACUCGUACAAAAGCUAGCAUGAUGCCGUAGGGAGGUUAUAAAGAUAUUGGGAAAAUUAAAAAAAAAAGGAUAAAUGAUACUAACCUUCCCUGAGAUUUCAGGUUAAUAUACAAAGCACCCUUGGCGUUUAAAAUUUUACAAUGACAUCCCCUAACAUUUUGAUUUAUGUCACUGACCACCCCUGUCAGAUUUUAUCCUCCACUAUUGCUUGUAAAA